rnacentral:rRNA from 1 species
CAAUAGCGUAUAUUAAAGUUGUUGCAGUUAAAAGCUCGUAGUUGGAUUUGUGGCGUACGGUGGGUUCCGGGCACUUGUUGUCUGAGUAACUUGCCGUUGCCAUCCUUGGGUGGAACCUGUGUGGCAUUAGGUUGUCGUGCAGGGGAUGCCCAUCGUUUACUGUGAAAAAUUAGAGUGUUCAAAGCAGGCUUAUGCCGUUGAAUAUAUUAGCAUGGAAUAAUAAGAUAGGACUUUACUACUAUUUUGUUGGUUUGCGUGGUGAGGUAAUGAUUAAUAGGGACAGUUGGGGGCAUUCGUAUUCCAUUGUCAGAGGUGAAAUUCUUGGAUUUUUGGAAGACGAACUACUGCGAAAGCAUUUGCCAAGGAUGUUUUCAUUAAUCAAGAACGAAAGUUAGGGGAUCGAAGAUGAUCAGAUACCAU